rnacentral:lncRNA from 1 species
GGAGACAUUACGACAUAGUGGAGGCCUACAGACUGGAGACAUUACAACAUAGUGGAGGCUUACAGACUGAAGACCUAUUGAUUGGAGACAUGACAACAUAGUGGAGGACUACAGACUGAAGUCAUCACAACAUAGUAGAGGCCUACAGACUGGAGACAUUACAACACAGUGGAGACCUACAGACUGGAGUUAUGACAACAUAGUGGAUGCCUACAGACUGGAGACAUGACGACAUAGUGGAGGCCAAUAGACUGGAGACAUGACAACAUAGUGGAGGCCUACAGACUGGAGUCAUGACAACAUAGGGGGGGCCUACAGACUGGAGACAUGACAACAUAGUGGAGUCCUACAGACUGGAGACAUGACAACAUAGUGGAGGCCUACAGACUGGAGACAUGACAACAUAGGGGGGCCUACAGACUGGAGACAUGACAACAUAGUGGAGGCCCACAGACUGGAGACAUGACAACAUAGUGGAGGCCUACAGACUGGAGACUUGACAACAUAGGGGGGGCCUACAGACUGAAGACAUGAUAACAUAGUGGAGGCCUAUGGACUGGAGUCAUGACAUCAUAGUGGAGGCCUACAGACUGGAGACAUGGCAACAUAGUGGAGGCCUACAGACUGGAGACAUUACAAAAUAGUGAAGACUACAGACUGGAGACAGGACAACAAAGGGGAGGCCUACAGACUGGAGACAUUACAACAUAGUGGAUGCCUACAGACUCGAGACAUGACAUCAUAGUGGAGGACUACAGACUGGAGACAUGACAACAUAGUGGAGGCCUACAGACUGGAGGCCUACAGACUGGAGACAGGACAACAGAGAGAAUGCCUACACACCGGAGGUCUGCAGACUGGAGACAUGACAAUAUAGCGGAGGCCUACAAACUUUAGACAUUACAACAUAGUGGAGGCCUACAGACUGGAGAUAUGACAACAUAGUGGAGGCCUACAGACUGGAGAUAUGACAACAUAGUGGAGGCCUACAGACAGGAGACAUUACAACGUAGUGGAGGCCUUCAGACUGGAGACAUUACAACAUAGUGGAGGCCUACAGACUGGAGACAUUACAACAUAGUGGAGGCCUGCAGACUGGGGAUAUGACAACAAAGAGGAGGCCUACAGACUGAAGACAUUACAAAGUAGUGGAGGCCUGCAGACUGGAGGCUUGCAGUCUGGAGACAUGACAACAUAGUGGAGGACUACAGACUGGAGUCAUGACAACAUAGGGGGGGCCUACAGACUGGAGACAUGACAACAUAGUGGAGGCUUACAGACUGAAGACCUAUUGAUUGGAGACAUGACAACAUAGUGGAGGUCAACAGACUGUAGUCAUGACAACAUAGUGGAGUCCUGCAGACUGGGGAUAUGACAACAUAGUGGAGGCCUACAGACUGGAGUCAUGACAACAUAGUGGAGUCCUGCAGACUAGGGAUAUGACAACAUAGUGGAGGCCUACAGACUGGAGACAUUACAACAUAGUGGAGGCCUGCAGACUGGAGGCCUGCAGUCUGGAGACAUGACAACAUAGUGUAGGCCUACAGACUGGAGACAUUACAUCAUAGUGGAGGACUACGGACUGGGGACAUGACAUUAUAGUGGAGGACUACGGACUGGGGACAUGACAUUAUAGUGGAAGACUACAGACAUGGCAACAUAGUGGAGGCCCACAGACUGGAGACAUGACAUCAUAGUGGAGGCCUACCGACUGGAGACAUGACAACAUAGGGGGGCCUACAGACUGGAGACAUGACAACAUAGUGGAGGCCUACAGACUGGAGACAUGACAACAUAGUGGAGGCCUACAGACUGGAGACUUGACAACAUAGGGGGGGCCUACAGACUGAAGACAUGAUAACAUAGUGGAGGCCUACAGACUGGAGUCAUGACAUCAUAGUGGAGGCCUACAGACUGGAGACAUUACAACAGAGUGGAGGCCUACAGACUGGAGACAUGACAACAUAGUGGAGGCCUACAGACUGGAGUCAUGACAACAUAGUAGAGUCCUGCAGACUGGGGAUAUGACAACAUAGUGGAGGCCUACAGACUGGAGACAUUACAACAUAGUGGAGGCCUGCAGUCUGGAGACAUUACAUCAUAGUGGAGGACUACGGACUGGGGACAUGACAUUAUAGUGGAAGACUACAGACAUGGCAACAUAGUGGAGGCCUGCAGACUGGGGAUAUGACAACAUAGUGGAGGCCUACAGUCUGGAGACAUUACAACAUAGUGGAGGCCUGCAGACUGCAGACAUGACAACAUGGUGUAGGCCUACAGACUGGAGACAGGACAUCAUAAUGGAGGACUACGGACUUGGGACAUGACAUUAUAGUGGAAGACUACAGACAUGACAACAUAGUGGAGGCCUACAGACUGGAGACAUUACAUCAUAGUGGAGGCCUACAGACUGGAGACAUUACAAAAUAGUGAAGACUACAGACUGGAGACACGCCAACAUAGUAGAGGCCUACAGACUGGAGACAUGACAACAUAGUGGAGGCCUACAGACUGGAGACAUGACAUAAUAGUGGAGGCCUACAGACUGGAGACCAGCAGUCUGGAGACAUGACAACAUAGUGGAGGCCUACAGACUGGAGACAUUACAUCAUAGUGGAGGACUACGGACUGGAGACAUGACAUUAUAGUGGAGGACUACGGACAUGACAUCAUAGUGGAGGCCUACAGACUGGAGACAUGACAUCAUAGUGGAGGACUACAGACUGGGGACAUGACAUUAUAGUGGAGGACUAUGGACUGGGGACAUGACAACAUAGUGGAGGCCUACAGACUGGAGACCAGCAGACUGGAGACAUGACAACAUAGUGGAGGUCUACAGACUGGAGACAUGACAACAUAGUGGAGGCAUACAGACUGGAGUCAUGACAACAUAGUGGAGGCCUACAGACUGGAGACAUGACAACAUAGUGGAGGCCUACAGACUGGAGUCAUGACAACAUAGUGGAGGCCUACAGACUGGAGACAUGACAACAUAGUGGAGGCCUACAGACUGGAGACAUGACAACAUAGUGGAGGCCUACAGACUGGAGACAUUACAACAUAGUCAAGGCCUAGAGACUGGAGGCCUGCAGUCUGGAGACAUGACAACAUAGUGUAGGCCUACAGACUGGAGACAUUACAUCAUAGUGGAGGACUACGGACUGGGGACAUGACAUUAUAGUGGAGGACUACGGACUGGGGACAUGACAUUAUAGUGGAAGACUACAGACAUGGCAACAUAGUGGAGGCCCACAGACUGGAGACAUGACAUCAUAGUGGAGGCCUACCGACUGGAGACAUUACAUCAUAGUGGAGGCCUACAGACUGGAGACAUUACAUCAUAGUGGCCUACAGACUGGAGACAUUACAUCAUAGUGGAGGCCUACAGACUGGAGACAUUACAUCAUAGUGGAGGACUACGGACUGGGGACAUGACAUUAUAGUGGAAGACUACAGACAUGGCAACAUAGUGGAGGCCUACAGACUGGAGACAUUACAACAUAGUGGAGGCCUACAGACUGGAGGCCUACAGACUGGAGACAGGACAACAGAGAGAAUGCCUACACACCGGAGGUCUGCAGACUGGAGACAUGACAAUGUAGCGGAGGCCUACAAACUUUAGACAUUACAACAUAGUGGAGGCCUACAGACUGGAGAUAUGACAACAUAGUGUAGGCCUACAGACUGGAGACAUUACAAGUUAGUGGAGCCUUGCGGAUUCCCUCCCUGAGUAUCCCCAUCCCCAAACUUCUAAAAACCCACCUCUUAAAUGAAUAUCUUGACUAAAUACCAGUGCACACAGGUUUUGUUGUUUUAGUUCUCUCUCUCUUUCCCUCCAUCUUUUCCAGUGGUGUAUCUCUUGUUGUCUUUCGUUCUCUCUCUCAGUCUGAUGGAGUUCCUCCCUUCAUCUCUCGUGACGAAGCCACGAUCAAGGCCGAGACAGACAGCUUGUUUUCACAAGGCAGCAGGCGCUCACACAGACACAGACACAUACACACACACACACACACAUCUGGAUCCCAUCAGCGCUUUGGAGUAGCCUGCAGACUCAGGCUUUCAGAGCAGAGCAGGCUGUGUGCUCAGGCCUGGCUCUCUGGCCAAAUUAGCUGAUAGAACCAGAUAAGCUUUUGUUUCAGAUUAGGAACAGAGCUCUACGUUUGGUGACUGCUGG